CCAUGUGAUUCAGCAUAAUUCAAUUCCUUGAAGGCCUGAAUAGAACAAAAAAGUGACGGAAGAAUGAAUUUGCUGUCUGCCUAACUGCUUCAACCAGGGCAUCAAUCUCCUGCCCUCAGUGUUUCUGAAGGGUUCUCAGACCUUCAAACAUAGACUGGAAUCUAUAUUAUCAACUGUCUGACUUUCAGGCUUUUGAACUUCAUGAACAAUUUUCCUGGGUUUCUAGCUUGCACACUACAGAUUGUACAGAUUGUGAGACUUCUCAGCCUCCAUAAUCAU
rnacentral:lncRNA from 10 species